rnacentral:rRNA from 1 species
GUGUGUACCCGCAGGUGGAUCUUU